rnacentral:rRNA from 1 species
GAUGAACGCUGGCGGCGUGCCUAAUACAUGCAAGUCGAGCGAACAGACGAGAGUGCUUGCACUCUCUGACGUUAGCGGCGGGCGGGUGAGUCACACGUGGGUAACCUACCUAUAAGACUGGGAUAACUUCGGGAAACCGGAGCUAAUACCGGAUAAUAUUUAGCUUCGCAUGAAGCAAUAGUGAAAGACGGUUCUGCUGUCACUUAGAGAUGGACCCGCGGUGUAUUAGCUAGUUGGUGAGGUAACGGCUCACCAAGGCAACGAUACAUAGCCGACCUGAGAGGGUGAUCGGCCACACUGGAACUGAGACACGGCCCAGACUCCUACGGGAGGCAGCAGUAGGGAAUCUUCCGCAAUGGACGAAAGUCUGACGGAGCAAUGCCGCGUGAGUGAAGAAGGUGUUCGGAUCGUAAAACUCUGUUGUAAGGGAAGAACAAGUACGUUAGUAACUGAACGUACCUUGACGGUACCUGACCAGAAAGCCACGGCUAACUACGUG